rnacentral:rRNA from 1 species
UACAGAGGUCUCAAGCGUUGUUCGGAUUCAUUGGGCGUAAAGGGUGCGUAGGUGGCGCCGUAAGUCGGGUGUGAAAUUUCGGAGCUUAACUCCGAAACUGCAUUCGAUACUGCGGUGCUUGAGGACUGGAGAGGAGACUGGAAUUCAUGGUGUAGCGGUGAAAUGCGUAGAGAUCAUGAGGAAGACCAGUGGCGAAGGCGGGUCUCUGGACAGUUCCUGACACUGAGGCACGAAGGCCAGGGGAGCAAACGGG